rnacentral:rRNA from 1 species
GAUGAACGCUGGCGGCGUGCCUAAUACAUGCAAGUCGAGCGAACAGACGAGGAGCUUGCUCCUUUGACGUUAGCGGCGGACGGGUGAGUAACACGUGGGUAACCUACCUAUAAGACUGGGAUAACUUCGGGAAACCGGAGCUAAUACCGGAUAAUAUUUCGAACCGCAUGGUUCGAUAGUGAAAGAUGGCUUUGCUAUCACUUAUAGAUGGACCUGCGCCGUAUUAGCUAGUUGGUAAGGUAACGGCUUACCAAGGCAACGAUACGUAGCCGACCUGAGAGGGUGAUCGGCCACACUGGAACUGAGACACGGUCCGGACUCCUACGGGAGGCAGCAGUAGGGAAUCUUCCGCAAUGGGCGAAAGCCUGACGGAGCAACGCCGCGUGAGUGAUGAAGGUCUUCGGAUCGUAAAACUCUGUUAUUAGGGAAGAACAAACGUGUAAGUAACUGUGCACGUCUUGACGGUACCUAAUCAGAAAGCCACGGCUAACUACGUG